AUAAAACAAAUUCAAAAACGAAAUGCCUCCUACGUCCCUCUCAGCCCUCGGUGACCUGUGCUUGUGUCACAUCUCCGGCAUGGGUCCCAAGGAUGGACUGACCUGGGACAGAGGGACCUGGGGAGGAUGGUGCAGCAAAUUAGCCCUCCUUGGACCUGUAGUGCCUGGUCCCGACUGCAUGGGACCACAGUCUCCAGAUCCAGGUGGGCACUCCUACCCCUGAACCAAGCCCAGUGCACCCAGAGGACGGUGGACUCUCUGGGCUGGAAGAGCUCUGAAAAGUCAGCUGGUCUCCAGGUCUCCUGCUGGUGAGUUUCCCGCCUCUAGCCUCCUCCCUUACAGUCUCCCCACCUCCAGCGAACAGCUCUCUCUGCAGUAUGGUGUCCCAGGGGUUGGAAUUUGCCCGGGGGUGAAGUGUAAGGGCAAAGAAUUAAUGAGACGCAACCCCUUAGGUUGUUUUUCUUUCUCUUUUUUUUUUUUUUUUUUUUUUGGCCACGUGGCAUGGGCAAUCCAAUUUCCCAGACCAGAAAUUGAACCUGAACCCCUAUACUGGAAGAUCAGAGUGUUAACCACUGGACCGCCAGGGAAGUCUCCUUGGUUGAUUUUUCAGCCCCAUACCACUCGAAUUUACACCCAGAAAUACAACUUUCUCUCAGGUUCUUGUGGCAAGAAUAACCAGCUUUGGGGAUGAAGAAAUCCUGCCACCUUGUGGCCGAUACCGCAACGACAGCUUUAAAACCAGUGCUUAUGAGCACUUCAUAUUCACAAAGCCUGGAGGGCUGUAAAUGACACCUGCCCUCAAGAAAUGUCCUUGGGUAGGAAAUGGAAAAAAGAAUUUAAAACUCUGACGACCGUGAAGAAGCCAAUUUAAAGAGGUAACUUCUACACACACGAAUAAAAGAGAAAAUAAAAAGCAAAAGUCAAGGUGCUCAGCAGCCCUACCUAUCAGAGAAAAGGAUAUCAAAACUACAAGGGAGGGGGCUUCCCUGGUGGCGCAGUGGUUGAGAGUCCGCCUGCCGAUGCAGGGGACACGGGUUCGUGCCCCGGUCCGGGAAGAUCCCACAUGCCGCGGAGCGGCUGGGCCCGUGAGCCAUGGCCGCUGGGCCUGCGCGUCCAGAGCCUGUGCUCCGCAACGGGAGAGGCCGCAGCAGUGAGAGGCCCGCGUACCGCAAAAAAAAACAAAAAAAAAACUACAAGGAGGUAUCACCUCGGACCAGUCACAAUGGCCAUCAUCAAAAUGUCUACAAACAAUAAGAGCCGGAGAGAGCGUGGAGAAAAGGGAACGUGCCUACGCUGCUGGUGGAAAUGGAACCUGGUAACUGCCACGAUAAACAACAGUAUGGAGGUUCCUUAAAAAAUUAAUAAUAAAGAGACCAGGUGAUCCAGCAGUCCCACUCCUUUGGAGAUAUCCAGAGAAAACCAGCAUUCGAAAACACCUGCGUACCCCAACGGCCGUAGCAUCCGUAUGUUCAAUGGCCAAGACAUGGAAGCAAAGGAAAUGUUCACAGACCAAUGAAUGGACAAAGAAGAUGGAGUACAUAUAGACAAUGGAAUACUGCUCAGCCAUAAAAAUGGAAAUAAUGCCACUUGCAGCAACACGGAUGGACUUAGAAGUGAUCAUACUAAGUGAAGCCUCAGUGACCCAGGCUGCCGUGCCACCCCUAGAAUAUGAGCCGGCUUGGGUCCCAAGGCUGGACUGACCUGGGACAGAGGGACCUGGGAAGGAUGGUGCAGCAACUGAGCCCUCCUCGGACCUGUAGUGCCUGGUCCCAUCUGCGUGGGACCACAGUCUCCAGAUCCAGGAAAUCAAGUUAUCAAUGCCUGAAGGAGAUUGACCAGAGGUGGAAGGACAUAGCAAAUUUCCAGAUCAUCACACAGACAUCAGCGCCACAGAACCCCUAAAGUCCAGAACGUGUAGAAGCAAACGAGGGGACAAACUGCCUCAAAAGGGAUAUUAGUCAUGUAUACUCCCUGCAAGAGUACAUCAAAGGGCUUGUUUCCACUGAUGUUGACAAGAGACGCUACAAAGGCACUUUACGUUUCCUAUAUAAGAGAAGAAAAUGAUUACAUUGGCUUUGUAAUUUAUUUCCCCCUGACCAUCACUGAGGUUGCGUGCCUCUUCAUAUAUAAAAUGAUCAUUUUUCUUUUACAGUGAAAUUUAGUUUCAUAGGUUCCAGAUAUUUUUGUUUGCUUCUAUUUUUUCUCUUGAUUGAGAGGCAAUUCAAAUAUACUUUAUAGUUGUGGUGUCUUCUCCCACAUCCUUCCAAGCCAAUUACUGUGCACACAGUCACUAAAAAAUUUGUCAAGGAACUUGUUUUCACAGGUCAUCCAUCACUCAAGACACUCGAUAUGAGGGCCAUCUGCCAUGCACAGCAUCAAGAGCUCUGUACUGAGCUCUUUGCUCUCAACUUGUGGACCAGUUAAAGGAUGAGGAUAUCGUUAAACCUCACAACCUACAGCGAAGCACAUUGGUCAGUCCUCAAACAUCAUUGCCAACAGGCCUGGGAGCUUCUCCUAUGACGUUCCCCAGUUGCCACCAAGACAUCUGGUCUGGACCAUGUCACCAACCACAGAGCACUGAAGUGUACACUCAAUGUGCAGACCAGAGAAUGUCAAACAUAAAUGUCAUCAGGACUCCAAACUCAGGCAGCAGGCAAGAGAUCUGCCUGGGUCUCCAUCCUGUUUUGCUAGAUCUUCCCCUCCUACCUACCCCCUCCUCACAAAAAUGUAAGACUCAGGUCCCUUUUAUCCUCUGAGGAUACUCAGAGACCUGAUCCGUGGAAUUAUCCACAGCCUUUAUCCUCUUCCCAGUACAACUGGACUUGGAUUCACACAGGCACACCAAAUGACCAUAAGGACACCUGCCCCAAUGCUAAGCAUUGACUCCCAGCCUCUACCCAACUCACCUCACCUGAGCCCAAGCCAGGCCUGCACUGUCCCCCAACAUCCACCAUCUACGCAUGUUCCAGACCAACCCCUCAGAAUUGUCUUCAUGAUGGGACAAGGGAUGCGGGGAGGGCUCCAGGUUCAGAACACCUUUCAUUUCAUCCUCCUAAGAAGCUUUCUCCUACAAGUCAGAUGUUUCACCUCUUAGGGGAACCUGGGUGAUACUGACCCAUGUCCCAGUCCACGUUCUCCAGGAGGACCUUCUGGUCUCCUCUGAGGGGACUGACCCGCCCUGCCCCAAGGCACGGAAGGUUCAGCCUCCAGGCUAACAGGGCUCAGAGGCGACUACUGGAGUAAAAGAAAGAAGAAAGGAGCAGAAUUUGUCUCAUGAAUUAGCACUUCCCCAGCUGUGGUUUACGUACAAAUUUCAGAGCACCAGAUAAUAUUGAGAAUUGCACAGCCCAUCUCAUGUAAUGUUAUGAAUUGUGUAAAUUUAACUUAUGUUUUAAAUGGAGGCUACCAAACUGUCAUAUGAAGUAUUUAGUAAAUUUUUUAAAAUUUAAAUUGUUUGCUAAUCCUUUUACAACAUAUGUCAUUAUGCUGUACACCCACCAUUUCUACAGUACUGUAUGUCAAUAAUAUCUCAAUAGAACUGAAAGAAAA